UGUUUGUGUCGCCCCGCUGUCGCUUAAACGUCGCCCCAGGAAAAUCGCUGGGGGGGCGGCGGAUAGGGACGGGGCGUGGCCGAAAUACAAAUGGAGUAAUUCUUCUGGGCAUAUGUGCGACUCUUUGCGGUGAUUAUCUCCGCGGCCUGCCGGAUAUUUUGACUCCAGCAAGCGGAAAAUUCGCCAUCAGAUAAUUGAUAAAGAAGGCGGAAAGAUGUUAGGAUGCGAAAACAGAAGAGGGCAGCCGGCGGCAAUGAGCUGACUUAUGAACAUCGACCAGGGCAUGGUCUGCAAUUGUGCAGCGUGACAGGCAAAUUGCCGGGAUACACACCUAGCCACAGACAAUGUGGGGUCCUUCACUCCUCUGCUCGCGUGUUAAACUUAGCUGAAUGGACUUCACUCCACUACACCCAGCCGCAUACAUCCGACUCGACGCCGCACAUUGCUACAUAACUAGGCCAAAAUAGCUGGGAUGGGGAUUCGAGGAUACGAAUGAGGAUGAGUACUGAGUGGGGUUCACAAAAGGGCUGGGACUGGCCUGUGCGACCAUGACUAAUUUGUUAGCAAUUAUGUUGGAUUGACGUCCCGGAUUGGGCCACAUUAGCAUAAUUGUUGUUAUGAGAUCGCCCAGGAGUCCACCAGCACAACCGACAUUUUGAUAUGGGGGCAUGGGCACGGGCAUGGGAAUGGAAGUUGUUCCUACAUGCAGUGCACUUGACAUUCAUUAACAUGGCACUCGGAGCAUCAUUAGAGGGUGGCCAAAACAACGAGGCUGCAAUGUGAGACGAGGCGAAAAAUAACCAGUGAGGUCCUUAAAGGAACUACUUACAAGCUGCUUGUUUCGCAUUCACUUUAUGGAUCAUUUCCUCAAGGAAUAUUAAUUACUUGAAUUUGAUUAAUAAUAUGUUUAAAC
ensembl:ncRNA lncRNA:CR44352 long non-coding RNA:CR44352